CUGUAUUCCAACUUUUGUAGGAGUCUGCUUAUUGUAGAAGCUCGGACGAAGACCAAUUAUCAUGAAAGCUCGGAUGGAGACUUCUUAUUGUAGAAGUCCCGCUGCUAGAGAAGCUCGGUCAUCGAUGAAGUCUGGAAGAAGUUCGGAGUAGAGAUCCGGCUGGUGGAGCCUGUCCAUUGUAGGAGUUUGUCUGUGGUCCAUCUACUGUAGA
rnacentral:lncRNA from 1 species